rnacentral:rRNA from 1 species
AAUAGAUACCCGGGUAGUCCACGCCGUAAACGAUGAGUGCUAAGUGUUAGAGGGUUUCCGCCCUUUAGUGCUGCAGCUAACGCAUUAAGCACUCCGCCUGGGGAGUACGGUCGCAAGACUGAAACUCAAAGGAAUUGACGGGGGGCCCGCACAAGCGGUGGAGCAUGUGGUUUAAUUCGAAGCAACGCGAAGAACCUUACCAGGUCUUGACAUCCUCUGACAACUCUAGAGAUAGAGCGUUCCCCUUCGGGGGACAGAGUGACAGGUGGUGCAUGGUUGUCGUCAGCUCGUGUCGUGAGAUGUUGGGUUAAGUCCCGCAACGAGCGCAACCCUUGAUCUUAGUUGCCAGCAUUUAGUUGGGCACUCUAAGGUGACUGCCGGUGACAAACCGGAGGAAGGUGGGGAUGACGUCAAAUCAUCAUGCCCCUUAUGACCUGGGCUACACACGUGCUACAAUGGAUGGUACAAAGGGCUGCAAGACCGCGAGGUCAAGCCAAUCCCAUAAAACCAUUCUCAGUUCGGA